rnacentral:lncRNA from 1 species
AAAAUGGGGGGAAAUUGGGAAGAGGAAGGAAAUGAGGGGAAAUGUGAGGAAAUGAGGGGAAAUGGGGAGGAGAUGGGGGGAAAGAGGAAGGAAAUGAAAAGGAAAAGGGGAAGGGGAAGGAAAUGAGGGGAAAAUGAGAGGAAAUGGAGGAAGAGGAAGGAAAUGAGGUGGAAAUGAGGCAGAAAUGGGGGGAGGAGGAAGGAAACGAGGUGGAAAUGAGGGGGAAAUGAGAGGAAAUAUGGGAGGGGAAGGAAAUGAGAGGAAAUGAGGGGGAAAUGGGGGAAGAGGAAGGAAAUGAGGUGGAAAUGGAGGAAGGGGAAGGAAAUGAGAAGGAAAUGAGAGGAAAUGAGAGGAAAUGGAGGAGGAGGAAGGAAAUUAAGUGGAAAUGGGGGGAAGAGGAAGGAAAUGAGGGGGAAGGAGGGGAAAUGAGGGGAAAAGGGGAGGGGAAGGAAAUGAGAGGAAAUGAGGGGGAAAUGGGGGAAGAGGAAGGAAAUGAGGUGGAAAUGGAGGAAGGGGAAGGAAAUGAGAUGGAAAUGAGGUGGAAAUGGGAGAGGGGAAGGAAAUGACAAGAAAUGUUGGAAGAGGAAGAAAAUGAGGUGGAAAUGAGAGGAAAUGGAAGACGAGGAAGGAAAUGAGAAGGAAAUGAGGGGGAAAGGAGGUGGAAAUGGGGGAGGGGAAGGAAAUGAGAGGAAAUGGGGGAGGGGAAGGAAAAGGGGAGGGGAAAGGGGAGGGGAAGGAAAUGAGAGGAAAUGGAGGGGAAGGAAAUGAGGAGGGGAAGGGGAGGGGAAGGGGUGGGGAAGGCCAGCCCAGGCCCCGCCCUCACCGUGACGUCGCACCAGAAGCGGCCCCAGCGCCGGAUGGGCUCCGGGGGCAGGCGCAGAGCCUGGGGGGGCACCGAGACCCCCAGCUGGGGGAGGAACGGGCUGGGAGCGCGCCCCGGCAGCGGGGAGAGCCCAAAAACGGGAGAGAGACCCCAAAAACGGGGAUUGUAUCACAAAAUCCAGGAGUGUACCCCAAAAACAGGGAGAGAGACCAAAAACGGGCACUGCACCCCAAAAAUGGGGAUUGUACCCCAAAAAUGGGGAUUGUACCCCCAAAAUGGGGAGAGAGACCCAAAAAACGGGGAUUGUACCCCAAAAACAGGGAGAGAGACCCAAAAAAUGGGGAUUGUACCCCAAAAAUGGGGAUUGGACCCCAAAAACGGGGAGAGAGACCAAAAAACGGGCACUGGACCCCAAAAACUGGAAUUGUACCCCAAAAACGGGGAGAGCAACCCAAAAAUGGGGAUUGUACCCCAAAAAUGGGGAGAGAGACCCAAAAACGGGGAGAGAGACCCAAAAACAGGGAUUGGACCCCAAAAAUGGGGAGAGAGACCCGAAAACAGGGAGAGAGACCCAAAAAUGGGGAGAGAGACCCGAAAAUGGGGAUUGGACCCCAAAAAUGGGGAGAGAGACCCAAAAAUGGGGAUUGGACCCCAAAAA